rfam:Apaloderma vittatum contig60127, whole genome shotgun sequence.
GGCCAGUUAGCUCAGUUGGUUAGAGUGUGGUGCUGAUAACACCAAGGUCGUGGGUUCGAUCCCUGUUCAGUCCC